GAUGAACGCUGGCGGCGUGCCUAAUACAUGCAAGUCGAGCGAACAGACGAGGAGCUUGCUCCUCUGACGUUAGCGGCGGACGGGUGAGUAACACGUGGAUAACCUACCUAUAAGACUGGGAUAACUUCGGGAAACCGGAGCUAAUACCGGAUAAUAUAUUGAACCGCAUGGUUCAAUAGUGAAAGACGGUUUUGCUUUCACUUAUAGAUGGAUCCGCGCCGCAUUAGCUAGUUGGUAAGGUAACGGCUUACCAAGGCAACGAUGCGUAGCCGACCUGAGAGGGUGAUCGGCCCCACUGGAACUGAGACACGGUCCAGACUCCUACGGGAGGCAGCAGUAGGGAAUCUUCCGCAAUGGGCGAAAGCCUGACGGAGCAACGCCGCGUGAGUGAUGAAGGUCUUCGGAUCGUAAAACUCUGUUAUUAGGGAAGAACAAAUGUGUAAGUAACUAUGCACGUCUUGACGGUACCUAAUCAGAAAGCCACGGCUAACUACGUG
rnacentral:rRNA from 1 species